rnacentral:rRNA from 1 species
GCGCGAAACCUCUGCAAUGCGCGAAAGCGUGACAGGGGAAGUCCGAGUGGCGAGAGCUUAGCUCUCGUCUUUUGCUAAGUGUAAAUAGCUUGGCGAAUAAGGGUGUGGGUAAGACUGGUGGCAGCCGCCGCGGUAACACCAGCGCCUCAAGUGGUACCCACGAAUAUUGGGCUUAAAGCGUUCGUAGCCGGUCAUGAAAGUCUUCUGUGAAAUGUUGGAGCUUAACUCUAACGCGUGCAGAAGAUACUACGUGGCUCGAGAGCGGGGGAGGACAGGAGUACACCUGGGGUAGGGGUAAAAUCCGUUGAUCCUAGGUGGACUACCAGUGGCGAAGGCGCCUGUCCAAAACGCGUCUGACGGUGAGGGACGAAAGCUGGGGGAGCGAACGGG